GAUGAAGAACGCAGCGAAAUGCGAUAAGUAAUGUGAAUUGCAGAAUUCAGUGAAUCAUCGAAUCUUUGAACGCACAUUGCGCCCGUCAGUAUUCUGGCGGGCAUGCCUGUUCGAGAGUCAUUACGCCCCUCAAGUCCCCUGUGGACUUGGUGUUGGGGAUCGGCGAGGCUGGUUUUCCAGCACAGCCGUCCCUUAAAUUAAUUGGCGGUCUCGCCGUGGCCCUCCUCUGCGCAGUAGUAAAACACUCGCAACAGGAGCCCGGCGCGGUCCACUGCCGUAAAACCCCCCAACUUUUUAUAGUUGACCUCGAAUCAGGUAGGACUACCCGCUGAACUUAAGCAUAUCAAUAAGCGGAGGA
rnacentral:misc_RNA from 1 species